rnacentral:rRNA from 1 species
GACCCCAGGUCAGGCGGGGCUACCCGCUGAGUUUAAGCAUAUCAAUAA